rnacentral:rRNA from 1 species
UGAGGAAUAUUGGUCAAUGGUCGCAAGACUGAACCAGCCAUGCCGCGUGCAGGAAGAAGGUCCUAUGGAUUGUAAACUGCUUUUUUAUGGGAAGAAAAAGUUUUACGUGUAAAACAUUGACGGUACCAUAAGAAUAAGCACCGGCUAACUACGUGCCAGCAGCCGCGGUAAUACGUAGGGUGCAAGCGUUAUCCGGAAUUAUUGGGUUUAAAGGGCGUGCAGGCGGGCUUGUAAGUCAGCGGUGAAAGUUUAUGGCUUAACCAUAAAAUUGCCAUUGAUACUGCUAGUCUUGAGAAGAAUCGGCGUGGAUGGAAUGUGUGGUGUAGCGGUGAAAUGCGUAGAUAUCACACAGAACACCGAUAGUGAAGACAGUUCACGAGGUUUU